GAGUCCCGUCACCCCGGGCGUUUGUGUGUGACCGCCCCUUGCCGUACCCCAGUGAGACCAUGGCAACCACUGGGCAAAGGGGGUCGGGACUGAGGGUGCUGCAGGACCCACAAACCACCCCGGCUCUGCAGCGGCUGCUGGACACCUGCUCACUUAAUGACAAAAUUGUGACUUCAGAGAUUAAAUCUCAUUACUUGGCCAGUGAGCUUGGCAGGAUGAUCCCUCUUCUCUCAUUACGUCUUAGAAGUACUGAACCUUCGCCCUGGCUGCUGUUUGCUCUGCUGCAGCCGGGACCGGGGGGGUUUGGCAGGGUUCCUGAGGUGCUGCCUGUGCCAAACGGAUGUAGUCUCAUUAGCACCAGCACCAGGGAGGUUUUUAUUGCCAUUAAGACAGCGUUGAAGGUGCCUUCCUGCUGGGCAAGGCACGAACACAGCAGGAGAUGAAAGUCCAGCUCUCCUUUCCUCGAGAGCUCCUCAUCACUUAGCAUCUAUUUAACUUGUCUGCCAAAACCAGAUGGAGCCACAAACCAUCUUGUCUGCGGCUCUGCUCUCCCCUUGGCCAGCGCUGGCACCCAUGGGCGCCCCGGAGGGAAGACAGAGCCGAAAGGCGCCCGGAGGCAAGGAGCGAGGGCACCCGCAGGACUUGUGAGAAGCUGGUCUCAGGGAACAUGGCUCUCACACCCAUUUCCAUCACCUCGGACAAGAUCAUCACUGGGAUCGCUAACACGGAGUGCAGAGGUAACAAGGCUCUUGAAAGCACCCCAAACCUGUGUACGAGCGGGGCUGUGCAGCUCCCCAAGCACAGGGUCCCUCUGCUCCAUCCACUGCCGUAUCCUUGCCGACCCCGCUGGGCUGGGAACACCCAGCUGCCUUCCUGCUCCUGCCUUUGCUCCACGUAACAGAGAAAAAGACAGAGAGGCCUGAAAAAGACCACAGCCAAACCAUCACCCACAUGCACACAACUGGACAUCUACGUGCAAGCUUCAGUGAAAAAUCAGAGUUGGGUGUUGAAACGGGAUUAGGGUGAGACAUGGUGCUGCUGUCAUGUGCUCGACCAUGCAGGGAAAUCCAGCUGUGCUGCACCAGCAACAGGGGACUGGGGUGCAGGAGGAGGCCAGCAGGGCUGGAAAGAGGCACCAGGCACCUGCGAGGCCCCCAGCCCCCCAGGCUUCCCUGCCAGCAGGGCGGCCACAUGGAGACACGACCCUGCAAACAGGAACGUCUGCCCCUGCCCACCGAGACGCGCUGUGGGAUGCUGUGGGUACAGCACCCUCGAGGGAGCUCGGUCUGCAUCUCCCUCCAUGCAGCACGUACCACACACUUAAUUGAAAUACUCCAUUUUUUCUCCCUUGGUACACGACCUUCAGUGUUUCCUGCCUGUUUGUCUUCUUGGCCAUUUGAGGAAACUGUGUAAUAUGAGUAUUAGUGCACUAUUAAACCUUCUCAGUAGAAUUGUCUUUCCUGGCUGGUAGCUGAACAAAAGAUAUUUUCUACCGAGAAUAGUAAUUUCAAUUUAAAAUGGCAACAUAGGAAGUAGGCAAGAUGCUCCCUGCUGUAAUUAGAACAAGUUUUCCAGUAUUCUGGGUUAUCUUUAGACUCUGGAAGUAUAGUUGCUCUACUAGGAUUAAUAAGUCACCUCCAUUAGCUCUCUCGCUGUGCUGGAAUCACAGGGGCAUCAUAGCAGCAGCGCUGAUCAGAAACCAUUUGCAUAUUCUGAAAUACAGAAGGCAUUCUGAAACAGUUGUGUUAUUUUUGUUGGUUUAUAAUAUUAAUAAAGGCAAAGGAGGAGAAGGAAA